UACGGGGGGUGCAAGCGUUGUUCGGAUUUACUGGGCGUAAAGGGCGCGUAGGCGGCCACGCACGUCCGUUGUGAAAUCGCUCGGCUCAACUGGGCGGGGUCAGCGGAUACGGAGUGGCUGGAGCAAGCUAGGGGGCAAUGGAAUUCCCGGUGUAGUGGUGGAAUGCGUAGAUAUCGGGAGGAACACCUGUGGCGAAGGCGGCUUUCUGGGCCUUACCUGACGCUGAGACGCGAAAGCGUGGGGAGCGAACCGG
rnacentral:rRNA from 1 species